CGCGUAGGCGGCCUUCUAAGUCGAACGUGAAAUCCCCGGGCUCAACCCGGGAACUGCGUCCGAUACUGGAAGGCUUGAAUCCGGGAGAGGGAUGUGGAAUUCCAGGUGUAGCGGUGAAAUGCGUAGAUAUCUGGAGGAACACCGGUGGCGAAGGCGACAUCCUGGACCGGUAUUGACGCUGAGGCGCGAAAGCCAGGGGAGGCAAACG
rnacentral:rRNA from 1 species